CCUACGGGUGGCUGCAGUGGGGAAUAUUGGACAAUGGGGGCAACCCUGAUCCAGCCAUGCCGCGUGUGUGAAGAAGGCCCUCGGGUUGUAAAGCACUUUCAGUGAGGAAGAACGCCUGGUGGUUAAUACCCAUCAGGAAAGACAUCACUCACAGAAGAAGCACUGGCUAACUCCGUGCCAGCAGCCGCGGUAAUACGGAGGGUGCGAGCGUUAAUCGGAAUUACUGGGCGUAAAGCGCGCGUAGGUGGCUUGAUAAGCCGGUUGUGAAAGCCCCGGGCUCAACCUGGGAACGGCAUCCGGAACUGUCAAGCUAGAGUGCAGGAGAGGAAGGUAGAAUUCCCGGUGUAGCGGUGAAAUGCGUAGAGAUCGGGAGGAAUACCAGUGGCGAAGGCGGCCUUCUGGACUGACACUGACACUGAGGUGCGAAAGCGUGGGUAGCAAACAGGAUUAGAUACCCGGGUAGUC
rnacentral:rRNA from 1 species